rnacentral:piRNA from 1 species
UGCUUCUUUCAACUUUUUUUU